UACAUGGGGCGCAAGCGUUAUCCGGAAUUAUUGGGCGUAAAGAGCUCGUAGGCGGUUUGUCGCGUCUGCUGUGAAAACCUGAGGCUCAACCUCGGGCUUGCAGUGGGUACGGGCAGACUAGAGUGCGGUAGGGGGUGACUGGAAUUCCUGGGUGUAGCGGUGGAAUGCGCAGAUAUCAGGAGGAACACCGGUGGCGAAGGCGGGUCUCUGGGCCACUACUGACGCUGGAGAAGCGAAAAGCAUGGGGGAGC
rnacentral:rRNA from 1 species